rnacentral:rRNA from 1 species
GACAGAGGGUGCAAGCGUUGUUCGGAAUUACUGGGCGUAAAGCGCGUGUAGGCUGCUCGGUAAGUCGGAUGUGAAAGCCCUGGGCUCAACCUAGGAAGUGCACUCGAAACUCCCGAGCUGGAGUCCCGGAGAGGAAGGCGGAAUUCUCGGUGUAGAGGUGAAAUUCGUAGAUAUCGGGAGGAACAUCGGUGGCGAAGGCGGCCUUCUGGGCGGUGACUGACGCUGAGACGCGAAAGCGUGGGGAGCAAACAGG